CUCUUGAUGACUUCUGGCUGGGGAAUCCACCAUCAGGGGCUAGGUUGGAGCUAGUAAUUGCCCACCUGGAACCUGCCUGGCCUCCAUUACAGGAACAAGCAACAGCUUGGCAUGGCACCGGAUCCAAUUGUGUCCCCAACACCACCACCCACCCUUUUCUCAUCCCUCUGCCCAUCCCAAGCUCAAGACAACCAGGCCCAGUGAAGCCAAGGUUGGGGCCAUUCCAGAAGGCCGGGGGAAAAAAAAGAUGAGGCACCGUAGCCCUCACGGUCGGCUCCUUGGGACUCCAGUGCUCACCGCUCAUCCGAGGGCAGAGAGAAGCCCCUCGCAGGCCGCCCCUGCAGAGGCCGCACUGUGCUGGACCAGGCCCGGGAGUCCAGUUGCCCCAGCUCACCCCUUGGACCUCGGGCGUGUGCCUAGCCUCACGUCGAGGGUGUAUGUGUGGCUGCACAGGGAGUGUGUGAGUGUGGCAGAGGGAGGGGGGCCCUUCGAGCUGCUCCAUCCGUCCGUUUUAUUAGGGACACAUUAAUCUAUAAUCAAAUACACCUCAUAAAAUUUUUA